CUGUCUCCUCCUAGCUCUCUCUGCCCACCCUCUUCUUGGCCUUCAGCGUGGCUGCCUGGGCAGGCCGAAAGCAGUAUAAAACGAGCAGGCUACCCAAGAUAGACCACGGUGUGCCUGACCAUCCUCUACUUGAAUCGUUGUGCACAGAGAGGCCCUUAGCGCGUCUCACACGACGGGGAGGAGUUAGGCUCGUGCAGAGCGGUUUCUCCAAACCAUCCUCUGGGGCAGACCUGGCCCGGGGGGUGCCUAGGGGUCUGAGGAGAGAGAUAGCCACAUCCCACUAGUGUGCCAUUUCCAAUCCUCCAGACUCAUCGAGUCCCUCCGAUGUCAUAUAAAGGGCCCAGAGUGACAUGGAGCUGAGAGGACGGACAAGCUGAUGCCACACAGGCAGGCAACUAUAGGAGAUAAAUUUCAGCAAAAUCACCCCGAUCAGGCCCUUAGCCCCUCUGGCUGUUUCAGAGGCCUGGAGCAUAGGAAUGUGUCCCCAAGGCAGUGAAGGAAUGGUUUUCCUUACACUCAAGGCUCUGAGAGGACAGCGACGAUGUAGCUCAGUUCUACCCUGGCACUCAUUCUCGGUGUUCUUGGCUGCUUGUUCACCCUCGGAUGCUCUUGGCUCUCCCAGGCAUUGGUGCUGAGUUCAGUGCUCAGCACUAGGGAGACUGCUUUUAGCAUCCCGUCAGCUACAUACCCCUUUUCGUCACAUAGACGAGAAAACAGAAGCUGAGAGCAGUCUCAUGGACACUAGCUAUGUUCAAACCCAUAGUCCAGACUCCUGGCUGAGACCGCUCUAGGGCCCAUGAUUACAAUGGGUCACCCCGAGAGUCCUGAGCUGGAGUGGGAGCUCUGGUUCUCCCAAAGGAGUCCAGCCGAGGGCCGGCCACCUCCUGCUACUCUGUAGAACCCGGCUUAGGAACAAUGCUGCCUCUAUCUGGAGCAGUUCAGGCUGCCCGGACUCCAGGCCCCUCAGAACGGCUUGACUAGCUAGGCAGUCGCAACAUGGCGCCAGGGCCACCCUGCCCAUCUACAGGGCUGGCUGUUGCCUGGGCUGAGGCUGGGCUGGGGUUCCAGGCAUCCUCAGGCUAGCUGCUGAGUGGUCAGGCACUGUGGCAUCCUCCCUCCUCUCCCUGUCGUCCAGCCCCCCGCCUUUUUUUGGUGGUGGGUUUGGGGGCCCGGCCCACCCGCCUCUGCCACGUCUGCCAUCCUCCAGGCACCCACGAGCAUCUUUCGAAAAUUCCCGGUGGGCGGGGCAGAGCCGUAGCGGCCGCCUCUGCGCCCCCCCCUCCCUGGGAGCCAGUGCCAGAUGAGAGAGAGCAGGAGACAAAAGUAGCAUUUUCCUUGUCCUCCUAGGCUGGCAGCAGGGUUUUCCCCCAGCGCCACUUGCUCCUGGCAGUCCUAACCCCGGGUGCCAGAGUGGCCAAGGCCCAAGCCAGGACCUGUGGACUGACGGACGCCAGAGCCCAGGAGGCCCAAGGGCCUGUCCGACAGAGGCUGGCACCUGGGCACGGUCUGGUGGCUGGCAGGAGCCCUCUUACCCAGCCAGGGCAGGGGACAUCAUUUUCACUUGCUGGCUUUUGAGAAAGUGACCCUGUCCUCCCGUUCCUGGCUUGUACCCACCGGUGGAGAUGAUAGAGAACAGAGAAGAUAGAAAACACUGAUGAAGUCCGCUGCCGCAGCUGGCUGGGAGUGAACCUGGAUGCUCCGGAGGGACACCUGCCCCCAGGAAAGUAAGCACCUGUCAUGUGUAUCAGAAGACCCCCUUCCGCCUCACACACAGGUAACUGCCACACUUGGGCAGAGAACAGCUCGCUCCAUCAGAAAUAGUCUUGGAGAUGACCGCGUACUGGCAGGCAGUUACUCUCCAGCCCUGUCCUCAGAGGCUCUACCUGGUGCCAGACCUACCCUGCCCCCAGCCCCUCAGGGGCUCAGCCUGGCCUCCAACCAGUGAGAGAGAUCCUUGCCCAGGACAGGACAGGAGAUAGUGCCAAAGAUCCUGGGUCCCUGCUCCAGCCCCGCCUUCUGCCCUGCGGAUUAGGUGGCCUGAGUUGUCCUCUUGAAGCAGAUGGAAUCCGGCAGGGACAGAUUUGCCUGUGGUGGAGGGCAGGAUUAGCUCUGAGACAGCCCAGGCACACAGUAGGUACCCUUUGCACCUGCCAUUCAUCCAGAUGGGCUGUCAGUGUUUAAGCCUCAGUGUACUGGUUCACAAAAUGGCCGGGGAUACCUGCUAAUGGAGAUCCAGGGGCUAUAGAGUGAUCUCUAGAGCGCCUGUACCUUGGGGUGAAGGCCCCAGAGAGCUGGACUCAGUCUUUGAAAAUAGUAGGUACCCGGAGGUGGCUGGAGUCAGAGUGCUGUCACCACUCUCUCUAGACUUCCCCAGCCAGCCAAAGCAGACUCAGAACUAGCCAUCCAUCACUCUGAGUCAUCCAGUUGGAGCCUACACCUAACAGCAGGUUAAGGCGUUGUAUCUGCCUCUGUCCAGUGGGUGAGGCUGUGCUGACUUCUCUCAUGCUAUGGCUAAGAAGGGCCCUGUAUCGAGGAGCCCAGACCUGUGGGGCUCUGCAGCCUCAAGUUAAUUUCAAAGAGAAUGUCUAAGAGGUCCCAUCAAUUGGGAUGACCUAGCCAUUUGGAGGACUGGCCUAGACCUGCCACACAUCACUUAGAUAAGGUAGGGCAUCCACUCCGCCCCUGGCAGGAUACCUCCCGGGCCUGGAUUCAGUCUGGCACAUUCAAGGGGUGCAAUUCCAACCUUACCAACUGGACCUUAGAGCCCCAAACUUGCCAUGGCUCCCUAGUCUAAGCUCAUGACUCAGAGACCUCAUAGCCCAGUGUCUCCAGGCCACAGAUGAGAUGGGGCCACAUAGAUGAACUAGUCUCCUGGCCUUGAGCAACCGUGAGUUCCAGGUGGCUCCUAAGCUGGAGGCCUUUUGAGGGGCCCUCAGGUUGGGGU